rnacentral:rRNA from 1 species
GCUUGACUGUAUCCUGGAAUUGGGUUUCGGUUUUUCUUGCGCAGCCUAGGUGGGAGGCAUUGAAGAUUUCUUUCCGGGAAGUUGGAGCCAUCAUUGAGAGACCACUCUGGAGAGGCUAGAAUCCUAAUGGUGAUCCUUGAAUCAGGACACUUGACAGUUUCAGGUGGGCAGUUUUUCUGGGCGGAAACCUCAUAAAAGGUAACUGAGGCGCGCAAAGGUUCCCUCAGUCUGGACGGAAAUCAGACAACGAGUGUAAAGGCAAAAGGGAGCUUGACUGCAAGACCCACAAGUCGAGCAGGAGCGAAAGCUGGCCUUAGUGAUCCGACGGUGCCGUGUGGAAGGGCCGUCGCUCAACGAAUAAAAGUUA